rnacentral:lncRNA from 1 species
GAUUAAACAAGUAAUUUACAUUGGUUUCUUAUAAUAAUAAUAGGAGAUUCUGCUGGUUUCACAGAUUUGGCCUGUGUAGUUUAUGCAGGGACUAAACAACCAGAAAUGGAGAUCUCACCUGUUUUUCACAUUCAUGACUUCUGUUACCUGUAGCAGUGUCUGAUGCAACUGCCUUCCACCUCUCUCCACAGGGGCUCUUUCUCUUUGCUGUACCCUGGACAUUUCAGUGUUGUGAGCUUGAGCUUUCUUUAGUUAGUUCAAAGAUGCUCUCACUAAAGUGUCCAUUGCCCUCUGGAAUUGCGUCCAGGAAACCUCUGCUCCCAUGGGGACCUCAGGUGUUUUUCUGCUUUAGCCUGUACUGUUCUUUAGAGGAGAAUUUGUGAGAGUCAUUGGGAAGCCGUAAGGAAGCUGCAGUAUGUGAACAGAUAUUCUACAAUGUAUGAAAUCUGGGCAUACUUUUAUAAGGCUUUGGGCUAAAUACUGGGUCUGGAAGCUAUGAGGUAAGAUCCUUCUUCUAGUGCUUAUGGGUGUCUUUAGCUCGUUUCAUAAAAAUAGGUGCUGAUUUCAAGUGCUCUAAGAUCUUCAGUUUGGAUUUUCAUUGGUCAGUUAUAUUAUUUGAUGUUCCAAAGAUGAGCUUCAAAGAUUAAUUUCUUUCCGUCUCCACACUGAGAUCCAUUUUUAUUGUUUUCUUCAGCUCAGUCUUCGGGUUAUUUGAUAAUGCAGCUGCUGGUAUUCUCUUCAUGAAACUGACUGUCUUAUGAAGCUAAGUGCUACGAGGCCCUGUGCUGGCUGGUUUUAUAAUAGCAGUUUUCCUGUGAAAAUAGCAGCACUCUUAUUCUCAGAUUCAUA